rnacentral:rRNA from 1 species
UUCCGGUUGAUCCUGCCGGACCUCACUGCUAUCGGGGUGGGACUAAAACAUGCAAGUCGAGCGCCUCCAAGCUAUGGUGAAUGCGCGGCAUACGGCUCAGUAACACGUGGCCAACCUACCCUUGGGACGGAGACAACCCCGGGAAACUGGGGCUAAUCCCCGAUAGGUAAGGAAUCCUGGAAUGGAUCUUUGCUGAAAGGGCGUCUAGACCAUGCUUCUUGACGUCGCCCAAGGAUGGAGCCGCGACCGAUCAGGCUGUUGGCGAGGCAACGGCUCACCAAACCUAUAACCGGUACGGGCCGUGAGAGCGGGAGCCCGGAGAUGGGCACUGAGACAAGGGCCCAGGCCCUACGGGGCGCAGCAGUUGCGAAAACUCCGCAAUAUGCGAAAGCGUGACGGGGCUACCCCGAGUGCCGCCCGCUGAGGGCGGCUUUUCCACGGUGUAAGGAGCCGUGGGAAUAAGGAGAGGGCAAGACUGGUGUCAGCCGCCGCGGUAAUACCAGCUCUCCGAGUGGUGAGGACGAUUAUUGGGCUUAAAGCGUUCGUAGCCGGCUUAACAAGUCUUCCGUUAAAUCCAACGAUCUAAUCGUUGGGCCGCGGGAGAUACUGUUGGGCUAGGAGGCGGGAGAAGCCGACGGUAUUCCCGGGGUAGGGGUGAAAUCCUGUAAUCCCGGGAGGACCACCAGUGGCGAAGGCGGUCGGCUAGAACGCGCUCGACGGUGAGGGACGAAAGCUGGGGGAGCGAACCGGAUUAGAAACCCGGAUAGUCCCAGCUGUAAACGAUGCGGGCUAGUGUUGGGGUGGCCACGAGCCACCUCAGUGCCGCAUGGAAGCAAUUAAGCCCGCCGCCUGGGGAGUACGGCCGCAAGGCUGAACUUAAAGGAAUUGGCGGGGAGCACCACAGGCGUGAAGCUUGCGGUUUAAUUGGAUUCAACGCCGGA